rnacentral:rRNA from 1 species
AUUGAACGCUGGCGGCAGGCUUAACACAUGCAAGUCGAGCGGGGUGAUGGUGCUUGCACUAUCACUUAGCGGCGGACGGAUGAGUAAUGCUUAGGAAUCUGCCUAUUAGUGGGGGACAACAUCUCGAAAGGGAUGCUAAUACCGCAUACGUCCUACGGGAGAAAGCAGGGGAUCACUUGUGACCUUGCGCUAAUAGAUGAGCCUAAGUCGGAUUAGCUAGUUAGUGGGGUAAAGGCCUACCAAGGCGACGAUCUGUAGCGGGUCUGAGAGGAUGAUCCGCCACAUUGGGACUGAGACACGGCCCAGACUCCUACGGGAGGCAGCAGUGGGGAAUAUUGGACAAUGGGGGGAACCCUGAUCCAGCCAUGCCGCGUGUGUGAAGAAGGCCUUAUGGUUGUAAAGCACUUUAAGCGAGGAGGAGGCUCUUUUGGUUAAUACCCAAGAUGAGUGGACGUUACUCGCAGAAUAAGCACCGGCUAACUCUGUGCCAGCCGCCGCGGUAA